CCUCCGCCGCCGCCCCCAUAAUCUUCUUCCUCUCCCCGAUCCACUCCUUUGGGUCCUCCGCACACCCACCGCUCCGAUCGGCUCUCCUACACACCAUCGUCCCAAUCCCCACCUCCUUGUCCCAAUCCCCACGUCCCCGGCCUCUCCAAUCCUUCCUCCACUCUCAGUUCGACGGCGCCAGCAGCCUGAGUGAUGAGAUCCGCUUCUUGGGCGCGCGCAGAUCCAGCAUGGGCUCAACCCCCGAUGUUGGCCUUGUCGGAGCAGGGCGACCGUGUGGUCGCCGGUCUAGACAAUGGCUCGCGGGAUUCCGGUGUGGCUCCCGUCCCUUCUGUUGGCUUCCUCGACACCAUGGCCUCAUGAUGCUGCUUCGACCACAGGGUACCCAAUAGAGACAGAAGGCACAUGUUUGUCAACCAGCUGCACUAUGAUAUGUUUAGGUGGUGCUGUAGCAGCCGUGCCGCUGCAUGGCGCACAAUAGAGCUCGAGAGGGUGACCGCGAUAAAUUUGGUGGAGCUGCUCCGUGAUGAACCAGGGGUUGGUUCUCUACUACCAGUCCUAUCAUUUCUCCGUGAUGAACCAGGGGUAUGAUUAGGUAGCGGGCUUCUUGGUGCUGGCCAUCACAAUCCGCCAUGACAUGAUCCUUACCAUCAGGAGGGCUGACGACAAAAACUUGAAUAACAACCUUAGUAGUAUCAUAUGUUCUAUCGUUGUAAAUUGGAUUAUACUGGUUCCUAGUGUUGUUCUGGGAUAUUUUGUGAAUAUAUUCUGUAAGUUAUCAUUACAUGCAGGAUUUUGUAA